UACGUAGGGUGCAAGCGUUAAUCGGAAUUACUGGGCGUAAAGCGUGCGCAGGCGGCUUUGCAAGACAGAUGUGAAAUCCCCGGGCUCAACCUGGGAACUGCAUUUGUGACUGCAAGGCUAGAGUACGGUAGAGGGGGAUGGAAUUCCGCGUGUAGCAGUGAAAUGCGUAGAUAUGCGGAGGAAUACCGAUGGCGAAGGCAGCCUCCUGGGCCAACACUGACGCUCAUGCACGAAAGCGUGGGGAGCAAACAGG
rnacentral:rRNA from 1 species